CCAUGAGUAAAGUGGCGACCGGGCGAGUAACACGUGACUAACCUACCUUCAAGUGGGGGAUAACCUCGGGAAACCGAGGCUAAUACCGCAUAAUAUCGCAAGAUCAAAGCAGCAAUGCGCUGGAAGAGGGGGUCGCGGCUGAUUAGCUAGUUGGCGGGGUAACGGCCCACCAAGGCGAAGAUCGGUAUCCGGCCUGAGAGGGCGCACGGCCACACUGGAACUGAAACACGGUCCAG
rnacentral:rRNA from 1 species